UUGAUCCUGGCUCAGGAUGAACGCUAGCGGCAGGCUUAACACAUGCAAGUCGAGGGGUAUUGGUUUUCGGACCAAGAGACCGGCGCACGGGUGCGUAACGCGUAUGCAAUCUACCUUUUACAGAGGGAUAGCCCAGAGAAAUUUGGAUUAAUACCUCAUAGUAUUGCGGAAUGGCAUCAUUCUGUAAUUAAAGUCACAACGGUGAAAGAUGAGCAUGCGUCCCAUUAGCUAGUUGGUAAGGUAACGGCUUACCAAGGCUACGAUGGGUAGGGGUCCUGAGAGGGAGAUCCCCCACACUGGUACUGAGACACGGACCAGACUCCUACGGGAGGCAGCAGUGAGGAAUAUUGGACAAUGGGCGCAAGCCUGAUCCAGCCAUGCCGCGUGCAGGAUGACGGUCCUAUGGAUUGUAAACUGCUUUUGUACAGGAAGAAACAACUCUACGUGUAGAGUCUUGACGGUAUCGUAAGAAU
rnacentral:rRNA from 1 species